rnacentral:tRNA from 1 species
GCCUCAUUAGCUCGGGGGUAGAGCAGUAGUUUCGUAAACUGAAGGUCAUGAGUUUGAGUCUCACAUGAAGCU